ACGGCCCCAUAAUUGAUGACUUCAUCAAGUGGUGUGAGCAAUCAUAUCUGCAAGUGAACAUUUCUAUAACCAAAGAUAAGAUUUUAGAAGACAGGCAGGAGUUAAGGUCGCACCCAUCAAGGCACCAACUGGUGACUAUUUGCAAUCUGGGAAAUAUCUUGGGACCAUUAUUGAUAAUACUUCGGUAUCUUCAUUGCUUAGGGAAAUUUGCCUAAUUCCACGUGGAAAAAAACAUGAUAAUUAUGUUCUUUUGUACGUUUAUUGACUCUGUUCUGCUUUUUUGUGUGAUGUUAAGGUUUGGAAACAGACUGAGCCUAAUUAUCAGCUGGUCUAGUCCACUCAUUGGUGAGCCUACCAGACAGUUACAGCGGAAUGCCGACUGGUGAGUUCCAACUCCUUCCAUCUGUUUGGAGGCUCAGGGUCCCAAGGAGCAGAACAAAGCGCUACAGCAACAGCUUUGUUCCCUUAAAUACUGGUGUCCUGAAAAGACAGAACCAAUGUUGGCAACAGUGGCUCUCGCUAGGAGAAAGUCAAAUGCAUUCAAGGUGCAUCCAGGUCUUCAGAUCACAGAAUCAACUCCAUACACAUCUGAAGUUCAUUGUCGCAAGGAAAAAGAGCAAAGGACAAGUAUACGUGUGUGUGUGUGCGAGAGAGAGCGGGAGUAGAGGUGAGAUAUCCAAGGAGUGGCUUCGGGCCAAGCACGUUCUAUAUAUGUAAGACACCCCACCUAAAGAUGUACUAAUGCCUGCUGGCUCAUCAGAGAGGAGAAGAAUGUCCUUGUGUCGAUCCAGCCAGGUUUUUUGUACGAUGGUUGUACAAAGAAGUGAAUUUAAAUAGUUAGCAGAUACUACAACGCGAGGCCUGGUAUCAAUACAGUCUGGGAAGAUGCUGAUGAAACAACAGACAAAAGUAGCAACCAAAACCUGCCCGUAACGAAUGGCAAAAGAAGACUUAGCAUACAAAAACAUGAAACAAGAAGCAUGCAUGCAGGGAACAUGUUAGUCGUGGCCCAGAAUAGAGAACUCAGGUCAACACAUUUUAAACAUGAGGACUAAUCUUGCGUCAAUACAUUUACAUGCACUAAACAAUGAUUGCAUACAUUUGGUUCAGCUUUUAAAAAUGCAUAACACUUUGAUUAGAUAAAGGUGGGACGAACACACACAGACUAUGCGACUGUCCUCGGGUUCCAAAACAGUUCUGUUCAGACAGAACAAUUCCUUACUUUUACCGCUGUGGUUGCUUGCACACUGGAAGGGACGUUGCAAGAGAGGGAGAGAUGGUAAAAAGAAGAAAAAUGGUGUCCCUCAGUGUGCGACCCGUGACUAUGUAUUACUCUGCCUAUGUACUCUUCUGCCACACCCUAUAACUUGUUCUCGUUUUCUGUUGUACAGUAUUAAUAAUUUAUUGGACAACGUCCAUAACCACAAAAUGUUGUAACACGGAACGCCGUAAAACGAGGACCACUGGUAUACACUUUAGAGAUGUACAUGUAAACUCGGACUUCACGUAGAAGUGUGAGACCAAACUAUUUCGGAAAUCCGACUGUCUUAGGGCAUGUAAACCUUCUGACUGUUCUGUUGUACCUUUCAUGCUGACUGUAGUGGUGUAGCAGCGGGACAUCAGCCCUGCCUGAAAGAGGCAUAUAAAAAGGGCUUUCAGACGCAAACUCCCCAGAUUGCUCAAUUGUCUGUACUAUGAACGCAAUUAGGGCAUCCAGCACCCUUUGAUAGACCUAUUUUGGAAUGAUCCCUCCCAGCAAGGUCUCGUUGUCUAUGAGGAAGACAACACUCACUGACUUAAUUGCUGUAAUCUGGGAAUGAAGUCACCGAAGUAAAAAUAAGUAGCUCGAGGCAUGAACCGAACCUGUUUAGAAGCAGAUUAGAGAACCAGCAGAAUGACGUCAAAGCUAUUAAGGUUCAUAGACAGAAUGCCUGGCUCAGUUCUCACCGUCAGUCGUGCCAACAACUGCAUCACUGGUCUCAUGAGUGCAGAAGCAGGGUGGAGAAUAGUUGCCUUACAGAAUCCAGAGCCAAAACCCUGCAUAGGCACAUCUUAGGUGUCCUCAACAGAGAGACAUCUAUAAGAAACAAACAUCCCUUGUUACUUCACCAGGGCACAUGUAGUAUGACUACAAAACAGUUGACUGCCUUACAGAGCCUGGGUUUUGUUCGAGGUUUCUUUCCUAGAGGGAGUUUUUCUUUACCUCCGUUGCCAAAUGUUUGCUCAUGUGGGGUUCAGUUAGUUCUCUUUAAUGUAUGCCUGGUUCGAGACCUGCUUAAUGUGUAAAGUGCCUUGAGAUAACGUGUGUGGUGAAUUGGUCCUAGGUAAAUAAAAUUGACUUAACAGAAAGAACACAUGGGAAAAGGACCAUGACAUGACUGGCGUUUGCACCUGCAAGCUUGUGGAAGGGAUUUGAAUGAAAGUCAAGCAAUUGUUUUAAACUCAAGGUGAGCUCAAGUCUGAGCUAACC